rnacentral:rRNA from 1 species
GAGCAUUAUCCAGCAAUGGGCGGGAAGGGGGAAGAAGGCCUUCCGGUGGUAAAGACCUAUUCCUUCGGGUGAUAAAAUCCUUUUGAAUAUGAAGAGACAAUGACGGUACCUCAGGAAUAAGCCCCGGCUAACUACGUGCCAGCAGCCGCGGUAAUACGUAGGAGGCGAGCGUUAUUCGGAUUUAUUGGGGGUAAAAAGCGCGCAGGGGGGUGUGUAAGUCUGAGCGUGAAAUCCCCCGGCUCAACCCGGGGAGGGCGUUGGAUACUGCGGGGCUUGAGUUUGGGAGAGGGGGGUGGAAUUCUCGGUGUAGCGGUGAAAUGUGUAGAGAUAUGGAGGAACACCCGUGGGGAGGGGGGUUUUCUGGGCCACUACCUGACACGCAGGCGCGAAAGCGUGGGGAGCAAACACGAUUAGAUACCCCGGUAGUCCACGCCCUAAACGAUGCGAACUAGGUGUUGGGGGUCAUUAAACCACUCAGUGCCGAAGCUAACGCGAUAAGUACU